CAGUUAUUAGUGGCAUGACAAGGAAAUUCUCAUGUAUUACAACACUAUUUCGGCUCUACUUAACAGGAACAAAGUGCAACAAAAAGACAUCUGCUGCUUGACUGAAAUGCUUCGCAUAAAAAAUCUGCAGUGCAAUGCAAGGAAUCACUCAGAGGACAUCUAGAAGCCUUUCGUGGCGUGUUUUAUGGCUACAGGUGAAUAGAUCCCCAUUUCCUGCAUAUUUGGCCUACCCAUUGCCAUUUCAGAGUUUUAGGUUGCACCACCCCACACAUAGACAGACACCAGAACGUUCCUGUUUUGUGCAGAAAUUCCAGGUCUUGACGUGAAUAGGUAAGUGAAAAUGUUAAAUUGAUGUUGAAAACCACUAUUGAAAAUAGAGUAUUAAUUGUUUAAGUGAACUUGUGUAUCCAAAUAAAACACUUUGGGGACAUGCUCCAUGAUUGGGCAACUACUCCGUGGUAAGAGCAGCAGGUUUGCAGAUUUCAGGAUCCUCCAUAGGAGGAUCAGGAUAGCAUUUUAAUAGCAUUUUAAUUGUUGGUUUCUAGUGGAUUGGAGGCCAGAUGGCCUGCACAAAUGUGCAAUUUCAGCUGGGUGGUGGCUAGAUAUCCUCCUGGGUUGAUCCGAUAUUAACCGGGCAGAUAUCGCUGCCAGCCACAGUCUCCCGUUUUCCCAGUAAAUGUACUGGAGAGGCUUCUCUGACAUUGCCCAUUCCUUUGUGCUAUCAUCCCAUUUGCUGACCCUACUGCAUCAGUUUGAUCACCCACAUUUUCCUUCUCCCUUGCUCCCCUGCUUUAUCUUGCAGCAUGGGUGGCCCAGCUGAAACCUUUCAUAAUGCAGAAUGUUGUACAUUUUUUUUGAAAGUCACCAAUUUUGCAUUGAAUGUAAAUGCAGUUAAUAAAUCAUGAUAUUAUUAUUAUUAUUAUUAUUAUUAUUAUUAUUAUUAUUAUUAUUAUUAUUAUUAUUAUCUGCAUUUCUAUACCGCUUUUCUCACCCCUGCGGGGACUCAAAGCGGUUUACAACAUAAUAAAUGGCAAAAUUCAAUGCCUUACAAAGAUAUCUAAAUAAAAUACAUACAACUGUAGAUUAAAUCCUUUAAAACUAUAAAAACAUCAAACAUAGACAUAUGCAUGAAACAUAUUACAGAAAUUAACAUAGAUCCCUUCUCUUCCCCCAUCUCCCCGCAUAGAAUCCACUAUGCUACGGUUGAACAGUUCUUCGAGUCAAGAAGUUUUUCCUAAUGUUUAGGUGAAAUAAUUUUUCUCAUAAUCUGAAUCCAUUGGUUUAUACUCAGGUCUCUGGAUCAGUAGGAAAAGAGCUCCAUGACAUUCCUUCAGAUAUUUGGAAAUGGCAAUGAUAUCUCUUUGUUAAGUCUUCUCCAGUCUAGACGUAUCCAGA
rnacentral:lncRNA from 1 species